AGUGAACGCUGGCGGCGUGCCUAAUACAUGCAAGUCGAACGGAGUGGCGCACGGGUGAGUAAUAUAGAGCUAAUCUGCCCCUUACUGGAGGACAACAGAAAGAAAUGACUGCAAAUAAUACAUAUAAAGGGAUGAGACUAUAUCGUAUCAGCUAGUCGGUGGGGUAACGGCCUACCGAGGCUAUGACGGGUAACCGGUCUGAGAGGAUGAUCAGUAACAUUGGUACGGAGACACGGUCCAAACUCCUGCGGGAAGCAGCAGGAGGGAAUAGUGCGAGAGGGGGGAAACCCUGACGAAGCAACGGUGCGUGGAGGAUGAUACUUUUCGGAGCGUAAACUCUUUUGUUUAGGGAAGCGGUACCUAACGAAUAAGCACCGGCUAACUCCGUGCCAGCAGCCGCGGUAAUAA
rnacentral:rRNA from 1 species